rnacentral:rRNA from 1 species
CCGCACGGGUGAGUAACACGUAUCCAACCUGCCGUCUACUCUUGGACAGCCUUCUGAAAGGAAGAUUAAUACAAGAUGGCAUCAUGAGUCCGCAUGUUCACAUGAUUAAAGGUAUUCCGGUAGACGAUGGGGAUGCUUCCAUUAGAUAGUAGGCGGGGUAACGGCCCACCUAGUCUUCGAUGGAUAGGGGUUCUGAGAGGAAGGUCCCCCACAUUGGAACUGAGACACGGUCCAA